rnacentral:rRNA from 1 species
AGGUGCGAAUACCCUUUGAUCCGUAGAUUUCCGAAUGGGGAAACCCACCUAAGGUGCUUGGAAAAUCAGAGCAGCAGGGCAAUUGGCGCGAGAUCCCAAAAGGAUUGAGCGUUAAGCGACGAUCUCUUUGAGAUCGCGCAGACUUGCUGCUGUGGUUUCCAAGUAUCUGUUAUAGGUAACUUACCCUGAAUAAAAUAGGGGUAAAGUGGCGAACGCGGGGAACUGAAACAUCUAAGUACCCGUAGGAAAGGACAUC